UAUUUUAUUUAUACAAUUAAAUAAUUCCAUAUAUUAUUUAAAAUUUUGUGGUUUAUAUUAUGUAUUUUGAUAACACUUUUAUGUUUUUUAGACGUAGUUAAUAUACCAAAAUAAAAAAUAACCACCCCGUAAUAACAAAAUCUUGUUACAUUUUUGACAUUGAUUAAGUAUAAUUUAUUGUUUACCUAGAUUAUAGGAAGCAUUUUUUAAAUAAAUAAACAUAAUUUGUUAUACUUUAUUUUAGGAAAAUGCAUUAAUUAAACUAUAAAAGACAAGAAUACUAAAAGGUAGUUAAAUUUAUUACUUCAGUGGCAUUCAAAUGUAAAUAACUUUGAAAACUAAGGGGCAAUUUAUAUUGGUACUUAUCUUUUAAUAAUAGAGAUACAAUUUGUCUUAAUGGACACGUGUCACUACGAUAUGAAAGGACUUAUCUACGUGAAUUCUAGGAGAGAGCAAACUGUACUUUAUAUAUAUAGAUAGAUAGAUAGAUGUGCGCUAAGGAUAAAAUUUUAGUCGACAGUUUUUAGCUAAAAAAAAGUAGGUCCUCAUUAUUUUGGAACUAAAAUGAAGUUACUCAAUAUGUAUUCAGCGUACAAAAGUAGUUACUGUUAUCUAUACUAUACUAAAAGGGUUAUAUGAGGAGUAGAGAGUGUGUCCACAUCAGAUUAAAAAAUCGGCCAAUUGGAGAAGAGCUUUUCGCCACGUCAGACACGCAAUGUCCAAAAGCGAGUGUCGGCCCUUUUUCUUUUCGUAUGGGUUUUAUGAAAAUGUGAAAAUUAUCACUCUGGCCCAUCCCAGCCCAGGUAGAGAACAUAGGGAUAAACUUUUAUCGUUUCACGCUUGAGUUUCUCCUCCAACUUUUCCACUUCAUCUUUUCCGAUGUAUAGAUUUGUUUGCUUUGCCAAACUUUAUCAACCAUUCUUCAAUGUUCUAUCCACUUUCCCUUGAUCCUUCUCCUAUAUAAAUCUCUAUGUACAAACCUAAAUCCACCCAAAAUCAAAACCUACUCUAAAGAAGUUACAUCCAUCGACACUUUAGUCUAAACCUAUCUGCACGAUCUCUACUUCUACUCCGCGACCGUCAAAUAAAAAAUGCAAUUCCUCCGGUAAAAGCUCAGUCACGGUCGAAGUUCCUUCACCGCUGAAUCAUCAUCAUCUAGGUUCUUACCUUGUGACGUCUCUCACCUUUGUCGAUCCAUCGAGAAUCUCCUGUAAAAAAACUCAGUUCCCGUUGAUGGAGAGAUUGUGAAGAAGGUUGGUCAAUCUGUUUCCUGUAGGUAAAAGAUUUAUGUGUUGUGCUAGAACUGUUUCAGAUUUCAAGUGAUUGGUCUUCUGAAGAACUAUGCUUUUGUGUGCGAGGUAUAUAAUUCACUUACAAACUUUAUCUUACAUGGAUAAGAUUCCAGAUUUGGUGUUUGGGUUUAUAUGUGACAUUUGAACUUAUGUGUGAUUUUUAAGCACAACGAGUGUUUGGGAAUAAAUGGACUGAGAUACAAAGGUGGAUUCAGCAGGUAGAAUACCGGCUCUAAUGGUGCUUCAAGUCAUGAUUGUAGGAUCAAUCAUUAAUGUUUUAUACUUCUCUAUGUUUGUAGAAAGGAUAAGGCUGUGAACAGGUUUACGAGACUUCGUGUGAAGAGAGCCAACCAUGAAACUAUGGCUAGCGAGAACAACUCAAACAAGAAAAUAAUGUUCUUCUUACAAUAUGAAACUUCUAUUGCCAAUAGAACAAGGAUCUAUCUCCAUGUAAGGUCUGAUUCUUUUCCUUUUCUAUGCUCCAAAGUUGUGAUCAAGCAUUUCUCUGACUUGAAAUCUGUGUUUAGUUCUUCUCUUCCAAGAUAUAUGCCUUAGAUUACACGUUAUGUCUCCACAGUGAGUUAUUUAUGAGCAUCACAAGGUGGAAACUUUCCUCACUCCCUCAUGAGUGACUGGAGGACAAUCUAAAACUAUUAGCCUGGACAAGCAAAAGUUAACAAUCCUCUUUGACAACCCCAACAUCUGAAAAUGGAAGGAAAAAGCCUUUUGCUGGAUCCUUUUCAUGCAGAAGGAAUCGUCCGUCAGAAAAUGUAAGAGCUCUAUAUUAAUUGGCUUCCUUAUCUGCUUAAUUUUAGUUUGGACAGUGGUGUUGAUGAGUGAGUCUCUCUGUCUGAAUAUGUAGAGGAAUUGUGCUCAAGAAAGGAAGCAUCACUAUUUAACAUUAUUCUAAUCCAAGUUAAAGCUAAAAGUAACUUCUAAUGCUAAUAAAUAUAUAUUACAUAUUUGAGCUAGGGGUUGAAACGGUGGCUAUUGAUGCAGCCAAAGACAUGGUACUGUCAAAGGAACAAUGGAUGUUAAAGAGCUUGUGCUUUUACUGGCCAAAAACUUAAUGAACCAUCAAUCUCUUCUUCUGGUCAAAGACUGUGCCACCCCUCCCGCCUUAAAGAAAGAAGUCUCGGCUGCAGGAGAAAGAGACAAAGAAGGAAGGGAAGUUGGAGAGAAGAAAACAGAGGGUGGCUAGAAGAAGAAAGAAGUUGUUGACGGCAGAGAAGAGAGAAAACGAAAGAUGUUGGAGCUGGCAGGAAGAAGAAGAAAGAAGCCAGGCGCAGUGAGAAGAAGUGAUUCCCUGGUCAAAUCAUUGUCACAUGAAAGAUUAUAAGUUCAUACAAGUAUAUGCAGUCUUAAAAUUUUCUGACGGACAUCUCUAUAACUAUAAUUUUCAACUACUACCAAAAUAAAACUUGAAAGGAACGAGAAAGAUUGUAUACACUCUAAUCUAAUAAAGUUUUAACUAUUAUUCUUAAUC